GACGAACGCUGGCGGCGUGCUUAACACAUGCAAGUCGAACGGAAAGGCCCUGCUUUUGUGGGGUGCUCGAGUGGCGAACGGGUGAGUAACACGUGAGUAACCUGCCCUUGACUUUGGGAUAACUUCAGGAAACUGGGGCUAAUACCGGAUAUGAGCUCCUGCUGCAUGGUGGGGGUUGGAAAGUUUCGGCGGUUGGGGAUGGACUCGCGGCUUAUCAGCUUGUUGGUGGGGUAGUGGCUUACCAAGGCUUUGACGGGUAGCCGGCCUGAGAGGGUGACCGGCCACAUUGGGACCGAGAUACGGCCCAGACUCCUACGGGAGGCAGCAGUGGGGAAUAUUGCACAAUGGGCGGAAGCCUGAUGCAGCAACGCCGCGUGCGGGAUGACGGCCUUCGGGUUGUAAACCGCUUUCGCCUGUGACGAAGCGUGAGUGACGGUAAUGGGUAAAGAAGCACCGGCUAACUACGUG
rnacentral:rRNA from 1 species